AUUGAACGCUGGCGGCAUGCCUUACACAUGCAAGUCGAACGGCAGCGGACCUUCGGGUGCCGGCGAGUGGCGAACGGGUGAGUAAUAUAUCGGAACGUACCUUUCAGUGGGGGAUAACGUAGCGAAAGUUACGCUAAUACCGCAUAUUCUGUGAGCAGGAAAGCAGGGGAUCGCAAGACCUUGCGCUGAUUGAGCGGCCGAUAUCAGAUUAGCUAGUUGGUGAGGUAAAGGCUCACCAAGGCGACGAUCUGUAGCGGGUCUGAGAGGAUGAUCCGCCACACUGGAACUGAGACACGGUCCAGACUCCUACGGGAGGCAGCAGUGGGGAAUUUUGGACAAUGGGCGCAAGCCUGAUCCAGCCAUGCCGCGUGAGUGAAGAAGGCCUUCGGGUUGUAAAGCUCUUUCGACCGGGAAGAAAUCGCACAGGUUAAUACCCUGUGUGGAUGACGGUACCGGAAUAAGAAGCACCGGCUAACUACGUG
rnacentral:rRNA from 1 species